rnacentral:rRNA from 1 species
CAGCCGCCGCGGUAAUACGUAGGUGGCAAGCGUUGUCCGGAAUUAUUGGGCGUAAAGGGCUCGCAGGCGGUUUCUUAAGUCUGAUGUGAAAGCCCCCGGCUCAACCGGGGAGGGUCAUUGGAAACUGGGAAACUUGAGUGCAGAAGAGGAGAGUGGAAUUCCACGUGUAGCGGUGAAAUACGUAGAGAUGUGGAGGAACACCAGUGGCGAAGGCGACUCUCUGGUCUGUAACUGACGCUGAGGAGCGAAAGCGUGGGGAGCGAACAGGAUUAGAUACCCCCGUAGUCCCUGUCUCUUAUAA